rnacentral:rRNA from 1 species
UGCAAGUCGAACGGAGCUUUUCGGAGCUUAGUGGCGGACGGGUGAGUAACGUGUGAGAAUCUGCCUUUUGGACCGGGACAACUGCGGGAAACGGCAGCUAAGACCGGAUGUGCCUGCGGGUGAAAUAUUCAUAGCCAAAAGAGGAGCUCGCGACCGAUUAGCUAGUUGGUGGGGUAAGAGCCUACCAAGGCUGCGAUCGGUAGCCGGUUUGAGAGGACGACCGGCCACACUGGGACUGAGACACGGCCCAGACUCCUACGGGAGGCAGCAGUGGGGAAUUUUCCGCAAUGGGCGAAAGCCUGACGGAGCAAUACCGCGUGAGGGAGGAAGGCUCUUGGGUCGUAAACCUCUUUUCUCAGGGAAGAAGCAAUGACGGUACCUGAGGAAUCAGCAUCGGCUAACUCCGUGCCAGCAGCCGCGGUAAUACGGAGGAUGCAAGCGUUAUCCGGAAUGAUUGGGCGUAAAGCGUCCGCAGGUGGCACAUCAAGUCUGCUGUCAAAGCCCCCAGCUUAACUGGGAAGAGGCGGUGGAAACUGGUGAGCUAGAGAGCAAUAGGGGUAGAGGGAAUUCCCGGUGUAGCGGUGAAAUGCGUAGAGAUCGGGAAGAACACCAGUGGCGAAAGCGCUCUACUAGGUUGCAACUGACACUGAGGGACGAAAGCUAGGGGAGCGAAUGGGAUUAGAUACCCCAGUAGUCCUAGCCGUAAACGAUGGAUACUAGGCGUUUCUCGUAUCGACCCGAGGAGUGCCGGAGCCAACGCGUUAAGUAUCCCGCCUGGGGAGUACGCACGCAAGUGUGAAACUCAAAGGAAUUGACGGGGGCCCGCACAAGCGGUGGAGUAUGUGGUUUAAUUCGAUGCAACGCGAAGAACCUUACCAGGGCUUGACAUGUCUGGAACCCGUGGGAAACUAUGGGGUGCCGAAAGGAGCCAGAACACACGUGGUGCAUGGCUGUCGUCAGCUCGUGUCGUGAGAUGUUGGGUUAAGUCCCGCACGAGCGCAACCCUCGUGUUUAGUUGCCAUCAUCAGUGGGCACUCUAGACGACUGCGGUGACAACCGGAGAAAGGUGGGGGAUGACGUCAAGUCAGCAUGCCCCUUACGUCCUG